AAGCAUGAAGAGCCAAAAUAUGAGGAACCCAAGUUUCCUGAGCCAAAAUAUGAGAAACCAAAAUACGAAGAGCCAAAAUAUGAGGAACCUAAGUUUCCUGAACCGAAGUACCAAGAGCCAAAAUAUGAGGAACCGAAGCACGAGAAGCCAAAACAUGAGGAACCGAAGCGCGAAGAGCCGAGGCAUGAGGAACCGAAACACGAAGAGCCAAAACAUGAGGAACCGAAACACGAAGAGCCAAAAUAUGAGGAACCUAAGUUCCCUAAACCAAAACACGAAGAGCCAAAACAUGAGGAACCGAAGCACGAAGAGCCAAAAUAUGAGAAACCAAAGUACGAAGAGCCAAAACAUGAGGAACCAAAGCACGAACAACCAAAAUAUGAGGAACCGAAGCAUGACGAGCCAAAACAUAAGGAACCGAAGCAUGAAGAGCCAAAACAUGAUGAACCGAAGCACGAACAACCAAAAUAUGAGGAACCGAAGCAUGACGAGCCAAAACAUAAGGAACCGAAGCACGAAGAGCCAAAACAUGAGGAACCAAAACACGAAAAGCCAAAAUAUGAGGAACCGAAGUAUGAAGAGCCAAAAUAUGAGGAACCAAAAUAUGAGGAACCGAAACACGAAGAGCCAAUACAUGAGAAACCUAAGUUUCCUGAACCAAAAUAUGAAGAGCCAAAAUAUGAGAAACCCAAGUUUCCUGAACCAAAGCGUGAAGAGCCAAAACAUAAGGAGC
rnacentral:lncRNA from 1 species